rnacentral:rRNA from 1 species
CUACGGGAGGCAGCAGUGAGGAAUAUUGGACAAUGGGGGAAACCCUGAUCCAGCAAUGCCGCGUGAAUGAAGAAGGCCUUAGGGUUGUAAAGUUCUUUCACUCGUGAAGAUUAUGACGGUAACGAGAGAAGAAGCCCCGGCUAACUCUGUGCCAGCAGCCGCGGUAAGACAGAGGGGGCUAGCGUUGUUCGGAAUAACUGGGCGUAAAGGGUGCGUAGGCGGUUGUUUAAGUAAAGUGUAAAAGCCCUGGGCUUAACCCAGGAAUCGCAUUUUAAACUGGACAGCUAGAGUGUGGUAGAGGAAAGUGGAAUUCCUAGUGUAGAGGUGAAAUUCGUAGAUAUUAGGAGGAACACCAGAGGCGAAGGCGGCUUUCUGGACCAUUACUGACGCUGAGGCACGAAAGCGUGGGGAGCAAACAGGAUUAGAUACCCUAGUAGUC